rnacentral:misc_RNA from 1 species
UCUCCGUUGGUGAACCAGCGGAGGGAUCAUUACCGAGUUUACAACUCCCAAACCCCUGUGAACAUACCAUUUGUUGCCUCGGCGGUGCCUGCUUCGGCAGCCCGCCAGAGGACCCAAACCCUUGAUUUUAUACAGUAUCUUCUGAGUAAAAGAUUAAAUAAAUCAAAACUUUCAACAACGGAUCUCUUGGUUCUG